UCAGGGUUGCCUACCCUCCCGCAUUUAGCGGGAGGCUCCCGAUUUUUAAGUGAGCCUCUCGCUGCCCCGCUUACCUUGCCUGCCCUCCCGGUUUUUAAAGCAGCUCCCUGUAAAUCCGGACAGCGCAUGCGCUAGUCCGGAAAUGCGGGGGGCAGAGCUUGCACUGAAGAGGUCACAGCUGGCGGCUACCGUGGGGUUGUGGGUAGCGGUGGCCAUCCUGCUGUGCAUACCGAGUUGGGCAGUCUGAGGCUGAGCGGAGGCAGGAGAAUGAUUAGCAGAGCAGCUGGUCUAUUGACAGCCAGUUGCACUGCUUUACUGCUGCUGGCCCCGCCCACCUCACUCAGAGUGGGCUGCGUGUAACACACAGCCCAGCUUACCUCUUCCUGGUCCUGCAAUCUGCAUAUGGCUGCCCAGUGCUGACUCCCCCACUACACUAUCCUGGGACAGCUCCCUGAUCCUCACAGGAAAGAGCAGCAAAGCCAGCAGGCUCCUAGGGACGAAGCUACGAGAGGUCCUGAUUCCGCAAGCAUCGUCUGGAAACACAGGAUGUGAACAAGCUUACGAGUGAAACGCGUUAUCCAUUCCACAGCUGAAUCGGAGCUGAUGCCGCUGCCAGUGGGAGGCUUGUGAGCCCACACGCCCGCGAUACGGGUUUUUUCAAUAUUCACUUCAUACUCCUG